UGGGGAAUAUUGCACAAUGGAGGGAACUCUGAUGCAGCGACGCCGCGUGAACGAAGAAGGCUUUCGAGUCGUAAAGUUCUUUUAUAUGGGAAGAUAAUGACGGUACCAUAAGAAAAAGCCCCGGCUAACUACGUGCCAGCAGCCGCGGUAAUACGUAGGGGGCUAGCGUUGUCCGGAAUCACUGGGCGUAAAGGGUUCGCAGGCGGAAAUGCAAGUCAGGUGUAAAAGGCAGUAGCUUAACUACUGUAAGCAUUUGAAACUGCAUAUCUUGAGAAGAGUAGAGGUAAGUGGAAUUUUUAGUGUAGCGGUGAAAUGCAUAGAUAUUAAAAAGAAUACCGGUGGCGAAGGCGACUUACUGGGCUCAUUCUGACGCUGAGGAACGAAAGCGUGGGUAGCAAACAGG
rnacentral:rRNA from 3 species